rnacentral:misc_RNA from 1 species
CCGACUUGCGACCAGAGCGUCUCCUCCCAGACCUUUCCCAUAGCUCGCCUUCCCACCUGUCGUCGCCCACCUCGUCUAUUAAUGACGGCUCCUACCGCGCAAUGCCUGAAAAGGCUGCAGAUUGAGCUGCGCAAGCUCAACACGGAGUGGGAGCUGCCGUUCAAAGUGGGUGCCGAUCCGCAGAACAUGCUGCGCUGCUACUUUGUCAUGGAUGGGCCUGCCGACACCCCAUACGAGGGUGGCCGCUAUGUGGGGCUCAUUGAGAUUCCGUCCGACUACCCGUUCAAGCCACCAAGCGUGCAGAUGUGCACCCCAAGCGGGAGGCUCAAGACAGGCAUGCAGAUUUGCCUGUCCAACAGCUCUUACCACCCCGAGAACUGGUCGCCGAUGUGGGGGCUCCGCACCAUCCUAAUCGCGCUCGUCUCCUUCUUUGUUUCGGAGGAGCCGACGACAGGGUCGAUGAGCGCCACCGCCGAAGAGCGACGCAGGUAUGCGGCAAACAGCAGGAAAUACAAUGUGAAGCGACUCCAUGCGGUGUAUAAGCGUGUACUUCCCGAGGCGUUUGCGGCAGAUACGGCCUUCAUUGAGAAUGGUGGCACCUCUCCGAAGGAUGAAGGCAGCAGCGCUAGUGAUGAGGACGCGACUGAAGCUGAAGAAGCACCGGCGGGCGCGGAACCGGAAGUCGCUGCGCAGGAGUCUUCGACAUCUCACGAGACAGUCGUCGCUCCAGCUAGGAAAACCCCUGGUAACGGAAAAGCGGGAGCUGCAGACUCUGAGGCGGCAACUGGCGCUGCAGCCUCCAAGUGGUCCCGCCACCACCAUCACCACCCACACAAGAAGAGCAUUACUGGUGCUGUAGCCCAACGAGGUGGUCAGCUGCAGUGGCGCCGCUAUGCUUCCCUCAUUGUUUUGAUCGCUAUUGGACUGGGCCUCCUGCGGCAGCUGAUGUGAGCUGGUGCAGUGAACACAGAUCCCUAGGCGGCGAGCCCACCUCCCUUUGAUAAACUACGAAGUCAACAACCCAGACUCUCUUUGUGUGGCGACGUUGCACUGUGUCUUGCGUGCUGUCGUGACAUCCACGCGUGAGUGACAGGGUAAAGGGGGUGGGGAUAUAACCCCUCAUGCAUUCUACCUCACUGCACGCUUUCCUCUGUUGCAAGUUUUUGUUCGUACCGUCUCACGGACGUGACGCGACGGCGUCAUCUGCGUACAGGGAGAAAGAGAUAAACCGAAGGAAGGAGAGCCCAAUGCCAGUGCUCUGAUGCUUGCCCCCCCCCUCCCCCCAGCCUGCUGUCAGAGGAGCAACCGUAACAGACGUUCGCGUUGGUAUUUUUUUAUUUUAUAUACCGCCCCUUACCCUUUCCUCUGUUGUCUUUGUGCCAUUGUGUGAUGCCCUUCUGUGCUUAUCUUCUCCCCUUCCGGCGGAACCUCGUUAGCUGCUGAUGCGGCACUUUGCGUGUGUGCUUGUGCGUUCGUGCGUGCGCGUUUUUCAUGCCUCUCCCUAUUAUUUGCUACCCCAGUGAAGGCAAUCGCCCCAGG